GAUGAACGCUGGCGGCGUGCCUAAUACAUGCAAGUCGAGCGAAGCGGGGACGGGUGAGUAACACGUGGAUAACCUCCUAUACGACUGGGAUAACUUCGGGAAACCGGAGCUAAACCGGAUACUUAGAGCUGGCUCCGUGCUGCAUUGGCUAGUUGGUAAGGUAACGGUUUACCAAGGCAACGAUGCAUAGCCGACCUGGGAGUGUGAGGGGCCAACCUGGCACUGUGAAACGGUCCUGACUCCUACGGUAGGCAGCAGUAGGGAAUCUUCGGCAAUGGGAGAAAGCCUGACGGAGCAAUGCCGCGUGAGUGAUGAAGGGCUUCGGAUCGUAAAACUCUGUUACUAGUGAAGCGGUACCUAAUCAGAAAGCCACGGCUAACUACGUGCCAGCAGCCGCGGUAAUAC
rnacentral:rRNA from 1 species